CUUCAGCACAACCCUCGUGCCCUCGCCUUCAGUAAACAGCAGCUUCUCUCUUUCUCUCUGUCUCCCUCACGGGCAAAAUGUACCUUCUUGGCUACAUUUGGAUGCUGAUCUGUUGGAUUGACAGUGCCCAGGCUGAAUCAAUCCUACAGCAGACUCCGAGAGAAAUAGUGGCGACCAAAGGCGGACAGAUCGAACUUUCCUGUAAUCUGAAGAAGGGCUCACUCGAAUAUGUUUUCUGGUACAAACUAGACGGAAACUCCCAGGCCCAUUUUCUGAAGUCUGCCACUGUCCUGAACAGACAGACCUCAGGAGAGGGAAUAACCGAACGGUUCAUUUUAACCAAAGAUACCUUUCGACUGUCGUUCAGUUUAAGCAUAAAAGACACGCAGCUGUCAGACAACGGCACCUACUACUGCCUGAUGCUCAAAUCCUACUCCAUGUACAUGGGAAGUGGAACUGUGGUCAUAGUAGUUCCAGAACAAGAGAAAGUAACUUCGCCGCCUCCGACGACUAAAAGUAGCGGAAUCGAUCGCGUUACCCAGCCCAAGGUACGACAGAAGAAGAAAGCGGAGAGUCACGAAUCCCGGAGGCGAUGUCCCCACCAGUUUCGAAAAAGGUAAUUAACACAUCAAAUCAGGACUAACGAGUGGAGGAAAGAUUGGAAUGUUAUUUCAACAAAUUGUGAACUUUUGAAAGUCAUAGACACAACUUUAUAUUGAUGAACACAGUCUUGUCUACAUUUCACCCUUCUGUAUCAUUGCUGUAAAAUCUCUUUUGGUUAUGAAAACUGGGAUGAAACUUGCACUCAGAGCAUGCACAUUCUGUGAACCCCACUCCCAACCUCCCACUCACUUCCAUGGCCAUGUAAUCUCUGAGGCACAUCUCUGCACAUCUCUGUGCAUACACAUACACAGGGUGGCAUGGUGGCACAGUGGUUAGCACUGCUGCCUCACAGCACCAGGGACCCAGGUUUGAUUCCAGCCUUGGGUGACUGUCUGUG